AACGGCAGCAGCGGCCUUUUUUUUUGGCUACGUGUAGAGACAGGGGUGUGUGCGGAGCCGGGCUGUGUCUCUGCUUGCCGGGUCACGCCUCUCCCUCCUCCCCGCCGGCCCCCUCUUAUCCGUCUGUACUUGAUCCAGCGGCCACGUGUGCGGAAACGGACAGGCGCGCGUGCAGGCCGACGCAUACACCGACGCUCCUUCGGUGCGCAGUGCGCAUCAUGCGCAACCGCGUCGGCGACGAGGCUCGCCAGCGCAACGGCAUUGCUGUACAGAGGAUCUUCGACAGGAGCGCCGAUCAGCGUGCCCGCACCGCAGCCCAGUUCCAUCGCGACCACGGUGAGCGCGCCACCGUACGGACGGGGAGUGAUCGCUACGACGGGUGCGAGUCUACGGGACCGUCGUUUCGUGUGUCCUCUACUUCUGCAGCAGCGCUGGUAGGCACCGUUGGCAGGGACGACAGGGGCGUACGACCGGCGUGGUGCGAUCCCCGCUGUGGCAGACUUCUCUCUCGCUCCUCUCUUGAUGUACCCUCGCGCGCCAGCAGCCAGAUGAAGCCGGCCGAACACACCGGCGCCUUGCCUCCUUCGCAUCAACAGCCUCUGCUGGCUGGCGCUGCGCCGGAACAGCAGCCCACGGGUGCGGUGUCACUGGAGGACGUGAAUGGCGCCAGUCGCUCGUGCUUCCGCCUCGAGGUCCAAAAAGCUCAGCACGCUCGCGGCAUUGACACAUCGCUAGCGGACGCGGCGCUGACACCCUACGAAGCGAGAAAAGCGCAGCGGAGGGCGUAUCAUCACCAGCAGGCCGUGCUGCGCCACGAGCGAACGAUUCCACGUCGGCGCGUCGUCGAUCCGUACGUGCAUCUCACCGGCGCGCAGGCGGAUGUGUGCUUGGUGGUGCCGAACACGUACACAGCGGACCGACUCGUAGAACGCAACGGCGGACGAUGGGUACUCGACAAUCCGCACCGCCAGCAGCUUUACAAAGGUGAGCCGAUCAUGACGCGCCUCAUGCAGGGCGAGUUCUACAGAGAGGGCGCGGCGCGCCGCGCUGCAGGAGAGCCGCGCCAUUACCUGUUGGCAAAAAACCGCCGCGAUGUGCGUGUGGUGAGUGAGAUAAACCGGGCAGAACGGCAGCGGCGCCAGUCGCCCUCGCACCACUGCGUCUGCUCCAAGUAGUGCCGAAGGGAACGCUUAUGGGUGUGCGAGCGCGCGUGCUUGGAAGUUGUUAACGUGGGUCUGCGCAGGGCACACCCGAGCUUGUAUGCGCGUGUGCGCGGCACACGAUAGAAGUGCGCACGUACUAGAUUUGUGCCUCCCCGCUGACACCCGAGGGGAUGUGUGUGGCAGGUUACAGCACAUUGGAAGAUAUAGACGUAAAACGCACGUGAUACAUCACGUGUCUUUUUUUUUUUCGAUAUUAUGUGUCUCGACUUUGUUCGCUCCACAACCUCCUUUCGCACCUCUUCGUUCUGAGCACGUACAUGCCUGUGUAUGUGUCUCUGCCUGUGCUUGCUUGUGUUGUGUUCUGCACCCUUUCCCUCCCUAUCCCCAAGGAGGCGUACCCAC
rnacentral:misc_RNA from 1 species